GAGCCUGUAGCUCAGCCUGGUUAGAGCGCCAGUCUUAUAAGCUGGAGGUCGAGAGUUCAAAUCUCUUCAGGCUCA
rnacentral:tRNA from 1 species